AUUGAACGCUGGCGGCAGGCUUAACACAUGCAAGUCGAGCGAGCGGCGGACGGGUGAGUAAUGUCUGGGAAACUGCCUGAUGGAGGGGGAUAACUACUGGAAACGGUAGCUAAUACCGCAUACCAUCAGAUGUGCCCAGACGGGAUUAGCUAGUAGGUGGGGUAAUGGCUCACCUGGGCGACGAUCCCUAGCUGGUCUGAGAGGAUGACCAGCCACACUGUAACGGAGAAACGUUCCAGACGCCUACGGGAGGCAGCAGUGGGGAAUAUUGGACAAUGGGCGAAAGCCUGAUGCAGCCAUGCCGCGUGUGUGAAGAAGGCCUUCGGGUUGUAAAGCACGUUCAGCGAGGAGGCGGUACUCGCAGAAGAAGCACCGGCUAACUACGGGCCAGCAGCCGCGGUAAUAC
rnacentral:rRNA from 1 species